rnacentral:rRNA from 1 species
AGAGCGAACGCUGGCGGCGUGCUUAACACAUGCAAGUCGAACGCGCAGCAUUCUGUAGCAAUACAGGGUGUGGGCGCGUGGCGAACGGGUGCGUAACACGUGGAUAACCUUCCUUGAGGUGGGGAAUAACCCAGUGAAAAUUGGGCUAAUACCGCAUAACAUCGCGAUGGCACAUGCUGAUGCGAUCAAAGGCGCAAGUCGCCACAAGAGGGAUCCGCGGCCGAUUAGCUUGUUGGCGAGGUAAUGGCUCACCAAGGCAAUGAUCGGUAGCCGGACUGAGAGGUUGGCCGGCCACACUGGAACUGAGACACGGUCCAGACUCCUACGGGAGGCAGCAGUGGGGAAUAUUGGACAAUGGGCGCAAGCCUGAUCCAGCCAUGCCGCGUGAGUGAUGAAGGCCCUAGGGUUGUAAAGCUCUUUGUGCGGGAAGAUAAUGACGGUACCGCAAGAAUAACGCCCGGCUAACUUCGCG